ACAGUGAGAAUUUUUGCGCAAUGGGGGAAACCCUGACGCAGCAACGCCGCGUGAGUGAAGAAGGCCUUUGGGUCGUAAAGCUCUGUCGACAGGGAAGAAGUUAGAGUUUUCUAAUAGGGGAUUCUAUUGACGGUACCUGUAGAGGAAGCACCGGCUAACUCCGUGCCAGCAGCCGCGGUAAUACGGGGGGUGCAAGCGUUAUUCGGAAUUAUUGGGCGUAAAGGGCGCGUAGGCGGUCUUGUCGGUCAGAUGUGAAAGCCCAGGGCUCAACCCUGGACGUGCAUUUGAAACAGCAAGACUUGAAUACUGGAGAGGAGAGCGGAAUUCCUGGUGUAGAGGUGAAAUUCGUAGAUAUCAGGAGGAACACCGAUGGCGAAGGCAGCUCUCUGGACAGAUAUUGACGCUGAGGCGCGAAGGCGUGGGUAGCGAACUAGGAUUAGAUACCCUGGUAGUCCACGCAGUAAACGAUGUUCACUAGGUGUGUCGGAUAUUAAAA
rnacentral:rRNA from 1 species